rnacentral:rRNA from 1 species
UACGAGAGGUCCAAACGUUUAUUCGGAAUCACUGGGCUUACAGAGUUCGUAGGCGGUACGGAAAGUGGGGUGUGAAAGCCCUCGGCUCAACCGAGGAACUGCGCUCCAAACUACCGUGCUAGAGGAAGAUAGAGGUACACGGAACUUCCAGUGGAGCGGUGAAAUGUGUUGAUAUCGGGAGGAACACCAGUGGCGAAGGCGACUACCUGGCCUGUUUCUUGACGCUGAGGCGCGAAAGCUAGGGGAGCAAACGGG